AGUCUCUUGUUUCGAGUCCGUUAAUUGUAAAGUUCUGUCGACAUCAUGCUCAAAUCGUUGUGUAUACUUUUGGGGCUUUUUAUGGUUUUACUUACAUUUUCAGAUGCAUAUUUUAUAAAGAAAAGUUCGUUUGAGGAUAGCCCACGAGGAGUUUUGGAAUAUUUUUCCAAACGAGGAUGGUGUAUAAAUACCCUGUCUGACUGUGCUCUAAUAGGUCGAGAUAGGGAAGCGAUAUGUAGCAUGGACUAUUUCCAGCGCGCUUGCUGCAGGUACUGCCGAGGAAGCUGACAAACACUUCAGAGUUAUGGAAAACGAUAGCCAUCCAAGAUCCAGCGCCAUGGCUUGUAAUCGUACAGUCGGACGAGAUUCAUUUCGUGCUUUCAUUAUUUCUGAAUAUAACGAAAAAAAGCAAACAUUUAUACUGAAAAGAUUAUAAUAAAAAAUCUAAUAUUUC
rnacentral:sRNA from 1 species